UACUUCCUACGGGGCGCAGCAGUGGGGAAUAUUGCACAAUGGGGGGAACCCUGAUGCAGCGACGCCGCGUGGGUGAAGGAGCACCUCGGUGCGUAAAGCCCUAUCGGCAGGGAAGAAACAGACGGUACCUGACCAAGAAGCCCCGGCUAAAUACGUGCCAGCAGCCGCGGUAAUACGUAUGGGGCAAGCGUUAUCGGAUUUACUGGGUGUAAAGGGAGCGUAGGCGGCAGGGCAAGCCUGAUGUGAAAGCCCGGGGCUCAACCCCGGGACUGCCUUUGAAACUGUCAGGCUGGAG
rnacentral:rRNA from 1 species